CCAUUGAUGCACAUUCAUCAUAAGCAUACUAUUAAACCUCACACAAGUAUUCCCACAUAAUUUGACAACUGUUGAAACAUUGAGCUAGAAAAUGUCUCUGGUUUAUUAAAUAGUCAGCAUAUAAUGCUAAACUUAAUGAGACUACAGUAAGAAGCUGAAAUAUAUCAACAAUUUGUGGAGCACCCUCGGAAAUUAACCCAAAUUUUAAUAACGACAAGUUAGUCAAAAGACAGCAAGACUCCGCGUAAAUUUAAGACCAAUUGAACUGCUAUAUUAAGGUUGUUGCAUUAUUCAUUUUCAAAAAAAAAAGUUGUUGCAUUAUUGCCUUGUAGCAUAAACUGAUCACUUAGACCAAGAAAAACCAAAUUUAAAUAUACAAAUUGAAGAGCAUGUCAUUAGUUGUUUUUCUCACAACAAUGACUGCUAACUGAUUCACUCCUAGAAAAGAAGAUUUCACAAGGAUUUCUGCAUGAAAUUACUACUCCCUCCGUCCCAAAAUAAGUGUCACUUUAGCAAUAAUCAUACUCAUUAAGAAAACUAAUAAAUAGAAAGGUAUAGUUCACUAAGUACCCCUAUUUAUUAGAUGUUUCUUGAGAAUUGAGCAUGAUUAAUAAGUAGUUCUUUAGUACAAGGGUAUACUUGGAAAAACAUACUAAUUUUUGUCUUUAAGUUCCUAAGGUGACCCUUAUUUUGGGACAAAUUUUUAUUGCUAAAGUGACACUUAUUUUGGGACGGAUGGAGUAUUUAGCAAGAAUAGAGCCUGUUUGGAUGGGCUUUUAGCUUUUGGCUUAUUUGUCUUUUGGCUUAAAAACAAGUGCUUAAAAGCACUUGUUUAAAACCCACACACUUAUAAAGUGCUUAAAAGCACUUAAAAUAAGCCAAUCCAAACAGGCUCUAAGAUGCAAAAGGCUGCAGUUUAAAAAAAACCUUCAUGAAGCUUAGAUUUGAUCCACUGUCACUGCCACAAAAACUUCCUUUAAUCCUAUUGAUCCCUUAGGAAACAGUAUAAAAACAAUAUCCAGAGUGGUACUCAUAUUGUCCCACUUGACCUGCUUAACAUUUUAGAAUGUCUCCCAAAAUGUAAAUUAUAAAUAUGCCCCAUCUCCUUAACUCAAACUAGUAAGAGUAGUUCUAUUUGUUGUGUGGUCACCCAUUUAAAAGCUUAAAUUGUUAGAAUGGUUGCACUUUGAUUUAUUUAAUUAUAUCUUCAACACACUUUCGCAUGCGGGCCUGAUUCUUUUUCAUGAGCCAAGCACAUUGAAAUUUUUUUAUGACAAUGACACUUGCACAUAAAACCUCCAACUACUCUGAUGUAAUACUGAGGUGUGUGAUCACCAUCUAAAAAUUUAAUCUAUUAAAGAGGGCACACUUUUUAUUUUAUUUGAUAUCUUCAACUGACUUGAUAGUACUCCCUCCAAUUCAAUUUGGCUGUCUUUUGCUUGUGACCUUUCUUUUCCAACAUCUUAAAACAUUCUUUUGCUUGUCACCUUUCUUUUCCAACAUCUUAAAAUGUCUGCACCAGUGUCAGGCAUUGCCC
rnacentral:lncRNA from 1 species